rnacentral:lncRNA from 1 species
CACGGGACACCUGCAUCUGCCAACAAGACUGGAAGCAGGUGAGGCACACAGAGGGGGAGGCCCGCAGCUGCGUGGGAGGAGGGGUGGUCUGAGGGACGUGGGAUGCCGGGAAUGAGGCUGGUUUGCAGGUUGGCGCAUGGACAUUUUCCCAGAAAGGGACAGAGACGGCGAAGUUUGACGGUCUGGAAAGCAGAGACCAGCAGGGCUGACUGCUUGGGAGCACGAGGGACAGCUCUCCACCGACCGAAGGAGGAGAAUGCUAUUUAUUUCAGCACCAAAUAUCCGGACAGCGCCUCUCGGGAGGUCCGAGAAGAGAACCGCGAUCUGUUUCAGCACCGGGGCUCAGGACAGUUCCCAGCGGGCUCCGUUUCGUCUCCAGAACCCUGGACAGCUCCUCCAGCUUGGAAUGCACUCCCUCCACCUCCAACCAGAGCUCCCCACAACUGACCCUGCCUUCUUCUGCAAGCUCCAUUUCAUCAAGGGAAACGAUCCUUAUUGCCUCACCAUUUCCCACGUGAAGUCUGUAUUGACAUUCUCAUAGACCUGGGAUAUUGUGUCUGCAGCACAUAGUCCAAUUAUUUUCAUGUUAUCUACUGACAGGUCUAUUUGUCUCCCUGUUACACUGUGAGCUCCGUGAGGGCAGAAACAAUGUUAGUAUUUUCACUGCUGUGUCCCCAGCGCCUGGUCCGGGGCCCGGCACACAGCAGGCAUAUAAUAAGCAUGUGUUGAAUCAAUAAAGGCAUCAAAGAAUAAACCAAUACAUCAAUCAAUAAAUGAAUGAAUGGCCUCAGCA